AAUUCAGCCCCACCGAAUGCAGUCAGUUUGAUCAGUUAGAACAAAACGAUCAGUCACAAAUCACAUCGAAACCUUUCUGUGAAGACCCGACGAUAGAGCUGACAUCGGGGGUCACCAGAUCGACUGACUGCUAAUUGACAAAUUGGAUUUCACUUUGGUGUGCUUGUAUCUCUGUUCAUGAUUGCGACUUGCCAUGGAGGAAAGUUUCGGUGCGCGUUUUAGCAUGAGGUGACGUAGCGGAAUACCACGUCGUCGCUGAGCUAUUGAGCCAUGGCAGAUAACCAUGGUUAUGGUUUUAAUGUGUUGUAUUUGCGGCGUUUCUAUCGCUUGCACGGAUUGCUCUUUCCGAACUGGAAAUCGCUCAACACAGUACUCAUGGUCCUGUUGGUCAUCCUAUCGGGUUUGGAGCAAUGGCUGGCCUUGUACGUGGGUCUGAUUUCAGGCGGGUAUUACAAGGUGUUGGGGGAUCAGGAUUGGAGCGGAUUUCAGACCACCACGCUGGAUGCCACGCUCAAGAUCAUGGCCAUGGUCAUCACCAAGUCCUUCCGAGUCUAUGUGACCAAUGUUAUGACCGUGGGUUGGCGACGAUCCUUGACGAUGGCCUUGCAUCAAAUGUAUUUUGCCCGCAUCCGUUAUUAUCGUCUCAACGUUCUCGAUGAAAGUGGUCUGGACAAUCCCGAUCAACGUAUAACCGCUGAUGUGUCGUUGUUAUGUCAGUCGUAUGGGAGCAUCAUCGCUGAUCUGAUCGUGGUACCAUUUACCAUCAGUUACUACACGUAUUCGGCAUACACUCGGGCGGGACCCGCUGGACCCACGGGCAUGUUCCUGUUUUUUCUCGUAUCCACCUUGAUCAACAAGGUACUCAUGUCGCCCGUGGUUCGAUUAACAGUCGAGCAAGAGCGGCGGGAAGGAGAUUUUCGUUUUAAACAUGUGACAGUACGGACGCAUGCGGAAUCGUUGGCUUUCCACAAAUCAGCCCGUGUCGAGUCAGUCAAAUCUGAUGAGAAGUUGUGGAAGCUCUGCCAAACUCAACAAAGCCUUUUCAACCGACAAUUGGCCUUGGACUUGGCGACAAAUACGUUCAGUUAUAUGGGGAGCAUCGCCAGCUUCCUCGUGAUUGCCAUUCCGAUCUUCUCGGGAGUCUAUGACGACCUGAGUCCGAGCGAUCUGGCGCGAGCCGUGUCGGAGAAUGCCUUUGUUUGCAUGUACUUGGUGUUUCAAUUCACCAAACUGGUGCAAAUGGCCUCGACCGUGAGUCGCUUGGCGGGAGUCACGCAUCGAAUCGGAGAAAUGACUGAGGUGCUAAUCCAUAUGAAUCGGACCUUUCAUUCCCAAGGUCGAAAGUCGUCGGACAAUUCCGAGGAUGAGGAGCACGACCAUUUGGUUGAAGUUCUGCCCGAUCAAAAUCCGGAGAGUCUUGUGAAGUCGUCCCAUUCGUUAGUCCUGGAACAUGUCAACCUGGUCACGCCCAAAUCACGAACGGUUCUGGUUCAAAAUUUGAGCUUGAAUUUGGAUUUGGGAUCCAAUCUUCUGAUCGUGGGACAGAGCUCGGCUGGGAAAUCUAGUUUAUUGAGAGUCAUUGCUGGUCUUUGGCCACUGGACCGAGGUGUGAUCCAACGCAAUCUGUCAGACUUGGAUGUGUUCUUUCUACCUCAACAGCCUUUCUUCACGGAUGGAACUUUGAGAGAGCAAAUCGUGUACCCGCUUCAAGUUGUGGGAACGCAUAUCGACCCACAAGAGUCCUUGGAUCUCUUGAACAUAUUGGAGGAAGUUGGUCUUGGCGAUUUGCCUCGACGAUGUGGUGGCUCGUUGGAUUCCGAUCCGAAAUGGUCGUGGUACGAUAAAUUGUCACCGGGUGAGAUGCAACGUCUGGCCUUUAUUCGAUUGUUCUUCCAUGGACCCAAGAUGGCCUUCUUGGAUGAGUCCACGUCAGCAUUAUCUUUAGACUUGGAAGAUCUUUUGUAUAAAAAAUGUGUGGAGAAGAACAUCGCUCUCGUGAGCGUUGGUCAUCGAGAAACUCUUCGACAAUACCACGACCAGGUUCUUACCAUUGGGUUACCCGAAGGCCAAUGGACUUUGGAAUCUAUACCUCAUUAAGUCAUCUUUAAUCAAUCAAUCAAUCUUCUGCUGUGAUUCUGAAUCAGGCAUCAUGAAGGAAACAAGUUGUGGCCAUUGUGGAGCUGAGGGCUCGUUGGUGGACGAAGAGCAUAAUGCUGAGAAGCUUCUGGUGUGCACUGAAUGUGGGUCAGGUGUCAAGGCCGCUUCAAACCUCGUUCAUGGUCAAGUGGUCAAUGAAAUCGUCGGCAAUAAACCCAAAACAAGCGCGUCCCAAUCCCGCUUUCCAAUCUUAUCUUUGCCUCGACAAGUCCACGGAUUCGUGGGUCGGACUCAAACUCAAGCCAAUCGAGAUUUGAUGAGAGCUUUGCGUUACGUGGCCUCAGCUGUGAAGAUUCCCACCAAUGGACGCGUAUUUAAAGAAGCCGAACAUUGGGUUAAACUUGUAUUCAAUAACGGAAAGCGAUUUCGACACCGCGAGCUCUCAGCGGGAUGCAUUUAUGUGGUUCUGAGGAGAAACGGCGAUCACAUUUCCUUGAAUGAUUUUUCCAGUACAGUGGGCGUUCGACCGACCGACAUUCAUCAAGUGGAAAAGCAUUUAAUUGCUCAUCGAGGAUUUCGAUUUGAAAAUCGGCCCGAGCGGAUUCCAUCGUCGAACAUGACUCAAAGUGAAAUUUUUAUCUCCGGAAAGUUCUGGGACAAAACUGGAAGCCAUCUAGUUAAUGAGGCCAUUCAAAAGAAAACCGAGGAUAUAUUUGACAUAUUCAUCCGCCUUGGACAUGCGUCAUUGCAACGAAGCCCCGAAUUCAUACUAACCGCGGCCUUUUUGGUUUACAAAUCCGAGAACGUGGUUUCGAGAAAGAAAAUGACCUUGAACCAAUUCAUUCGAGAAUGCUCAAUUCCUAUGAGCAACUUAACCGAAGCAAAUCUCACCAAGCCAUUGCAAAUUGUUUCAAAAAGCUUACGAGACAUGGUGCUUCGUCUUCCCUAUUUUGUUGGUCAAAUUGGCGGCAAGCCUCGGAAAUUGAUCACGGAGAAUGCUGUCAAGUACAUGAAUGACGUUUUGGAACACGGUCGAAUCCUUCUCUCGCGAUGUCAAUCUCCCGAUUUGGGUGCUGAAACUUCGGACUUGAAGUUUGACCAGGAUCUGGAUGUUAGUCAAUAUAUCCGUAGCGAUGACGAAAUCAAGGCUCUUCGACCGCUCUAUGACAAAUAUUUUAGCUCUUUCGAAAAGAAUAGAAGUGGUGGCGUUACGUAAUCUACAGUGUAUUGUUAGAGGUCUCCAAAGAAAUCCUUGCUAUUUCCCCGGUUGGAUGAUGGAAGCUGGUGUUCUUGCUCCUUGGCUGUCAACAUUUUGAAGUCUUUCCGUCGGAUUUUGUGUUUCAUUCGAUUGAAGAACGGCUUCUUAGUUUUGUUGUAAUCAAUAUUCUAAAAUCAAAACGUAUUAAAUUAUUAGCCAGUAGUCA